GACGAACGCUGGCGGCGUGCCUAAUACAUGCAAGUAGAACGCUGAAGGAGGAGCUUGCUCUUCUGGAUGAGUUGCGAACGGGUGAGUAACGCGUAGGUAACCUGCCUGGUAGCGGGGGAUAACUAUUGGAAACGAUAGCUAAUACCGCAUAACAGUAGAUGUUGCAUGACAUUUGCUUAAAAGGUGCAAUUGCACCACUACCAGAUGGACCUGCGUUGUAUUAGCUAGUUGGUGGGGUAACGGCUCACCAAGGCGACGAUACAUAGCCGACCUGAGAGGGUGAUCGGCCACACUGGGACUGAGACACGGCCCAGACUCCUACGGGAGGCAGCAGUAGGGAAUCUUCGGCAAUGGACGGAAGUCUGACCGAGCAACGCCGCGUGAGUGAAGAAGGUGUUCGGAUCGUAAAGCUCUGUUGUAAGAGAAGAACGAGUGUGAGAGUGGAAAGUUCACACUGUGACGGUAUCUUACCAGAAAGGGACGGCUAACUACGUGC
rnacentral:rRNA from 1 species